GAAUGCCUGGUUAAAUUUGAAUUUCAGAUAAGCAAUGAAUAAUUUCUUAGUAUAAGUAUACUCCCAAUACUGCAUGGGACAUACUUAUGCUAAAAACGUAUUUGUUGUUUAUCUGAAAUUCAAAUAAACUGGGCAUCCUGU
rnacentral:miRNA from 1 species